AGGUUCAUUUGGUCUGACAGUCGUACAUUCGAAACAGUUCUUUUCACGGACCGGAGUUAGCUUGUUUUUUCGCACCGGACAGUUUCGACUGCCCACUUGCAGUCUUCCUCAGAGUGGUCACGCAAUGUUCCAGCUGAUUCAUACAGAUGUUGUUGCUGUCUUCCUGUCGGCGAAGGCAGGGCGACAUCGCCAUCCGCCGUCUGACUCCUUGUGAUGAACAAGACCAACGAGGGCAACAGAUACAUUUGUGAUACACUAAAACAGCGUCAACACCCAUACAGAAAGGAAAACAGGUCAGAGAGAAAGAAAAACAAAAGAAUCCAAGUAAAACCAAAAGAGAUAAAAAGAACACAGCCAUGGUUACACUACCAUACAUGUCUUGCAAUAAAACGUACACUGGGGGAAAUGGAGGGACAUUAAUACAAGAAAAAAGGAACAUGAAACAAUGUGAAACAGCGAAGGCGUGCACACGAGCAACCAAACACAAAGCAGAGCAAAAACAACUCAAAUCCGCCAUUUCGGACCAUUGCUAAAGAGAAAAGCACAUGAUGGAUUAGAAUGGAGCAAACAUCAUUGGGACAGAGGACAACAAACGCCACCAAUGGAUGAAAGAGGCAAUUGAAAUUCGGAAAGGUGCACACAGGACCAUGAGCCGUGACGAGGGGGCCUCUGCGCACACUCACACUUGGGAUGCAGUCCUAAAGAAGUCAGACGGAGGACUGCGCUGUCGCCCUGCCUUCGCCGACAGAAAGACGGCGACAACGUCCGUAUAAGUCAGCUGACACGACACGUCACAGGAACAUUGCGUGACCACUCUGAGGAGUAACAGCUAACUCUGGUCUGUUUCAAAUGUUUAGGAUAGCGGUUUGCAUGAUGCUGGGCGCUAAUAUUUUAGCUAAAUGAGAGGGGAAACACAUUAGAAACCACACUGAGUGCUAUAUUUCAAAACAGAGAAGCAGGGGUUGUAACGUAGAUUUUAUUAGGUAAAAAAGUUGAACGAGCAAAGUCAUUUCUUGAGACAGUCGUACGUCAGUUGAUUUUAUGAAAUUAAUUUUUGCAUUUAUUAGGGAAAAUAGUUCCCACAAAAAAAUACCCUCUACAUCUUUUCUAAGUUAAAACUGGAUGCACAUCCUGAUGAUUACUUUAGGCCAAUGAUACAGUGAUAUCAUGAUGCCUUGAGUUUCUUCUUUUUGCCUUUAACCAUCUGUGGGAGCUGGAUUUUGAAAGCAGUCCUAAAAAAAAAGAAAAAAAAACCCAUUAUUGUUUAAUUAGACAACAUAGUUUUCUAAUGUAUAAAAGAUGGACACGUCGUUCCUCGCUACAUCACGGUCCAAACAUUGCUCCCUCACUAUCGCGGUUUUUCCAAAAAUUAUUGAUUGCGUUUUGUGGUUGAUUAUGGCCUAUUAUUAGUCAAAAAUAUGUACAUUGAACCAAAUUGCACGCGUUUUUUUUUUCCAAAAUUAAACAUUUUCAAGCAUAAAAAUGGCUAAAUGAACUAAAAUACAAAGAAACACUCGUCCCUCGCUACAUCGCGGUUCACCUUUUGCCCUCGCUGUUUUGUUGUUUUUUCCCCAAAGUCUAUGAACAUGCAUUGUGUUUUGUGUCCUGAUUGGCUAUAAGACUGUAGACCAUUGACCAUCAAUCUCCUCCGUGCCAUGUCUCCUGUUGUGUUCGAUCGCUAGCAAUAGCAGACUGACUCUGAACUCUGUAUGAAACGUUCUGCAUCCAAAAGGCAGAGGAAGAUACUAAGCAUUGCACAAAAAGUUGGACUUCUGGACAUGCUGAAGGAUGGUAGGGCGCCAUUAAGGAAUAAAUGAACCUUUGGUUCGUUACAUAAAGGAGGAGGAAAAUGGCAUAAGGACGACGGCAGCUAUAAGUCUUAACAAGGAUGCAACAACCCUACAGCAGAGUGGCGCCAGGACCAAGAGGCAUGGUCAGAAGAACUGUGAAAUACGCAUGAGUCACUGUUAAUAAUUUCUUAUGUGUCCAACCGCGUAGAUUCAUUAUUAAAAUUGAAAGGAAGGUUUGAACAAGAGAGAAAUGUGAGGGAAUGUUAAUGCCUGUCUGAGAAAAGUGUAUCCAGUGUAUGGUGAGGGGUUUUACAGCCUUAACAAAGAAUCAUUGGAAAAAUAAAGCCGACUACUUUACAGAUCGCGCCUAUUGCGGGUUAUUUUUAGAACCUAACCCCCGUGAUAAACGAGGGACCACUGUAAGCCAAUAAUACCACAACUUGUGACUGUUGUAUUCUACAUUGGCCACCAGGUGUCAGUAAUUGUUAGGUGAGACAAGCAGCAGACUUGCUCACCAGGUCACUUUCUGUCUGCCACCUAUUCUGCUCCCCUACAAGGUAAAUUAUCUUAAAUGGCUUAUUUUCUCUGAUUAUAUACUUUAUGUGAUUAUAAACUGUAUAUAUAGUGGGUAAUAGGAGCGUAAAGGUGACUAUAGGGGUGUUAUUGGAUCUCUAGAGGGCUCUAAUAAUGCUUAAAACUGAUUUAGAAGAUCGUUAACAGGUUUUCUAUGCCAUAAGUAUGAAAUAUUCCAUUUAUAAAGAAGGAAUCCUACUUUGCAGAAAUUCACAUAUCACAAUCAGGUCUGGAACCAAUUGACCAUGAUAAACGAGGGAUUACUGUAUUAUUAAAACUACAUAAAAAAAAAAAAACUUACUCGCAGGUUGUGCAGAUGGGGCUAAAGUUGCAGAAUACUGUUGAAAGAAAACACCAUAAAAUGUACUAUUAUAGCAGCAUAAAAGCAGACAAAACAUAUAUAUAUAUAUAUAUAUAUUUGAAAUUAGCUGAUUAGUAGCUUUUUGCGCCAAAAUAAUAUAAAUCAUUUAAAUGUAAUAAAAUUGUGACAAAUUGGCAGUUCACUCACAGAUCAAUGAAAUGAGUGGGCAAAUACUAUAAUAAAUACUAAAAUGAUUACAUCAUGAAAUAUAGAAACUGGUUAAAAGGCAUGAAAUGUAUCAAAUCUGCCAUCAAAUAAGUUUCACUAUAAUGAUUUCAGAUAUUUCACAAUUUAAUGAAUGUACACUUUAUUUUCUGUUCCAUUUCAAUUCGGGCCAGGGGGAGUAACUUUCAAUUUGGCAACAUACACAGUAUGUUUGUACAAUAUUUUGCAGAUUAAACGGUGCAUGUUGUUGAAUGUAUUUGCCUCAAUUGUCUUGAGUGUACAUGGUGUGAUGCGUGAAGAGAGAACAGUUGAAAAGAAGAUUGAACAGCAGUGAAACCAGGGACGUCCCAAUCCACAUUUUUUGGCUUCAAAUCCUAUUUUCUUUUGUCUUGCUGAUAAGGAUUUAAAAAAAAAAAAAAAAAUUAUAAGAUUGUUACAAACAUGAAUUUGUGGAAUUGAACAUGGUUCUAAAAAUAGCUCUUCAAAGCACUGAAAAUAAUGCAACCAAAGUAUUGCUGAAUUUACUUUUGUAUUAUACAGCAUGACCAACAAGAUUGUUUGGCUUUUGUAACAAACCUGUGAGUCAUGUCCCUGAUACAAUGAAAGUCCAUCCAAUAAAAGAUAAAAUUGGCGUCCAAAUUUAGGGUAGGACUAAUCCUUUGACAUGGUUAUAGAUCAAUUUGUGGUGUGAUUUAGAAUAGACUUUUAGAAUAGUAAUUUGACUGUUCCUAAUAUAAACAAGCACUUCCCGUGUGAGCUCCCCGCACCACGACACAGCAGUCUGCAGCAAAUCAGUCCGCAUGAAUACAUUCUCGUACGUGUCCUUUGUGGUUUGGCUGCACUGUUUAGCUAAGUGUGAGCUCUCUGUAGGCAGGCCCUGGGCUUCCAGGGUGAUGGUGUCCAUGCAUCGUUUUAGCCAGAUUUUACACACUAUCAACUUGUUGAACUUUUUUUUCUCUGUGAUGAACUAUAUAGAAAAAGUUUUUACAAAACCCCUACUUGGAACGGUUUCACAGCAGAUGCGCAUAUUUGUUUCCCCACUUAAAAAAAAAAAAAAAAAAAAAACGGGGCCGGGUGAGCACUUACUCGACAGGCAAACCGAGCAGACGUAGCCGAUUUCAAUGAGGUUACGGUGGCAGAAGCACGCCGCCCUGUAGUCCACGUGGGCCGGCGGUGGUAGCACCAGCUGGGAACGCUGCUCUGCGUCGGGCAGGAACACCCACUGUUCACGGGCACACAACAAAAAGGUUAGGAUCCAGAUAUGCACAAUACAGCAUUAAGUUCCAUUUCCUGUUCUAUGGUUAUCAGUACGCUUUUCCUAUUUGAUACUAUUGGUACGUUUUGAGGCAUAUUUUCCCCAGAAUAUUUGGGUUAAAACGCUUGCUUUGACUAUAGAGGUUCCAUUAUAUUAUUACUGAAUGACUGCAUUAAGUGGCUGUUGCUGCGUUCUCACCAGCAGGUACUGUGCGAGGGCCACCUUCUGUGGGAUCUUGAGGUACAAGCCUCCUGUUAUGUCACACGCCUGCAAAGAACAUGACAAGCACCACCAAAUAACAACCAAUUAAUACAAUGACAAUUCGCCAUUUGGCCAUGGGAUACACAAAAUUCAAAAUGAUAAAAAUAUAACCGUACCUGCUGGAGGAGACCCGAAUCUGACUCCAACACGCACGCAUCAAUCAAAAUGUUCUGUUUUAAAAAUGGAAAACUGUUAAAUCAUGCAGCAUAUGAACAUGUCAAAAUAAAUGAAAUAAAGACGUUACCUGCUUCUGGGCAGCAAAGAUCACAUUCAUGAAAUGCAUGUACUGCAGGGCGCAGUCGUCUGCUGCCUUUAUCACCUAAGUUUCGUUCAAUAUUAUUACUACAAUUAGCCAUAUAUUUAAAAACAAAACAGCGUUCAUGAAACAGUAGUUCAAGCUUACCAAAAUCCGCGACUUGAUCUCCUGUCCGGCUUAAAAAAAAAAAAGUUUUUCAAAAUGCAGUAAAAGCCUUAAUAUUUGCAUUGGAACAACUUUAUUACAAAAAUGCAUAAUGAAUAAAACAAAAGUACCUUCAAGUUCCUUUGUGACUCUGUUGAUAUCUGAGUUGCAAAGAUGAAGGGAACAUUACGCUGCAACAUUAACGCACACUUCUGUUACCCAACAGGGAAAGAAACAAUUAUAUAGUUAUUAUAUAGUAGACGACGCUCAAGGUGGGGUUUCAACAAGCGUUGCUUGUUUGACUGUUGGUUAAAAAAAAUUAUAUAUAUUCUAAAAAUAACAUUUAAAUGUGUGAUUAUUAAUAGUAUGAAAAAAUAAACACUUUAUUUGAUGCUCGGUACUCACUGUGAAAAAUUAUCAUCUAAAACAUUCAUUCAGUAUGACUUUGAGAAAAGUAUACUAUUUUAAAAAAUAAAAUAAAAUAAAAAUUAAUCCAAAAAUAAAAACGUUAAUUGCCACUGGGCACUCCACUAUAGUAAAUGAAUAUCCCCCAAUGUAGGAGGAAAUAUUUAUGAUUUGGGGUAUAAUUCACUUCAACAAUAGACUUUUAAAAUAAAUAUUUUCGGGGUUUUUUUUGUAAUAAAUAUUUAAAUAAAAUCUAACUUCUUAUGGUAUUAUAUAUAUAUAUAUAUAUAUAUAUAUAUACACACACACACACAGUCAAACCUGUCUAUAGCGGCCACUAAAGGGAAACGGCAAAAGUGGCCGUUAGACAGGUUGACUGUAUAUACACUAAGUCCCCAACUAACGAACACAAUUGGUUCCAGACGACCGUUCUUAUGUCGAAUUGUUCUUAAGUAGGGAAAAGGUAGUAUUACCAAUGAUAUAGGUACUACAUGUACGUGUAUACAUAUACAGUAUAUGUGUAUGUAUGUAAAUAUGAGUUUGAAUGCAGUAGUAAUAUUAAACAAGGAUAAUUAAUGAAAAAAAAAAAACAUAAUAAAAAUGAUAUAGUAAUACGUAAUGAUAAAUGUUAUUUGCCUUUGAAGAGGACUGGUCGAGCAUACGUCGUGGUGGUGGAGGAGGAGAUAUUGAAAAAAAAGGACAAAUGGUCGUCGUCGUUAGACUCUUCUAAAAGAGGUAGUGUUCUGUGGGUGGUGUAGAAUUAAGCAGGCCUAUUAACUCUUCAUAAACUUUAAUCACACACUCUGUCCGGGUUGUACAAUUUAGCUUUCCAUUUAGCUUUACACUGUAUCUCCCCAGCGUCUAACGCUUCCUCUGUUGGUUUCAUUAGCUCUAAGGCGUCCUCUGUUGGUUCCAUUAGCAGUGUCACAGUGCCCUCUACUGGUCAAGCAUGUACAGUAGCAGUAGAAAUACUGAUUGAGCGACUGCAAGGCAAAAUAAAAUAAAAUAUAGACCAGUCAGCUUGUGUUCGUAUCCGCAAGUGUUGGCUAGUCGAGUGUUCGUAAGUUGUAAUAUAUAUAUAUAUAUAUAUAAAACAAUUUAAUGGUAUUUUAUGAACUGCAUAUAUAUAUUUUUAAUGAACAAUUCACCCACAAUGCACUUAAAUAUUCUAAUUCUAAUAAAUAUUUGUAAAAAAAAAAAAAAAUUAUGGCAUAAUUACUAGAACUAUUUUAAUUUAAAUAUAAUUUAAACAUUAACAUGAUCUAAUUUGAAUGUUAAGAACCACAGAUGUUUUAAAAAUAUUAAAAAUUAAAAAAUCCCCCUUAUGUCAUUAUAAUUACUAUAUAUUUUCUACACAAUUCUGAAAAUGAUCCAAUUUCAUAUCUAAUAUUGUAUUUUAUGAACUGCAUAGUUUUUUAAAAUGAUGAUACUGCAUAGCCAACAGGGGGUUUUGCAUCCUUCUACAUUUAUCAUUUGGUUGUCAUACUGCUAAAUCUGCAGAUGGAAGCACAAGGAUACAGCAAAGCGCUUUGGCGAGGGACCCCGCCAGCAAAGUGUCAGUGGAGCUUCCCUUCACUUCAACUGCAAACACAAAAAAACCCAAAAAUAUUCAACAAACACCUUUUACAGUGUCCAUCUUCACCACAUUAUCAUCUUUUGUAUUUGGUGUCCCUAAUGUUGUGUCAUUCACCUACUUUUGGACAUCAGAUCCCUGAUCUCCUCAGCCAUGACACUGUUGGCGACCGAAAGCAGUUCGUACUUUCCGCCGCCGCCAGAGGACGCGUCGUCCACGUUGUCGCCGGCUCUGUGUUUCUUGCUGGGAUACAAGAAGUGACUGACGCCACACAGACAGACAAGGUUAUUGGCUUUCUUACGCAUUGGAUGCUCUGCGGAAGGUCAGCGUGGAGGUCACCUGUCUUGACAGUGGCUGGCGAUGACGGCCAGUUUGUUGCUCCUGUUCAUGGCCACAUGGGAGUUGGCCAUCACAAUGACGGCGUCCAUACAUUUGGACAGAGUGAACUGGAUCAACAUAAAAGCUUAUUUUAUUUUGGCUCGAUAUUUAGGCGUUAUGUUUUUAUUAAUUGGCGGCCUGCUGCAGUCCUACCUGCGGCUCACGUUGUGCUUGCUGCCCCCACCAUAUCGGGUUAACGUCCACCACGAUGACUAGCAAGCUGAUCUCCUCCUCUGUGGCAAGAGAAGACAACAUUAUUAACACAUGAUGUUGCUGGCUGAUUGCUGUAGUCCCACUGUACACAAACCUGACGCCAUGGCGACUGAGUACUCUUUAAUGCUGCAAUUUUACCGUCUAUUAGCCUCCAUUUCUCAUCUAAAACUACGCGACGUAGCGAGUAGUUUCAAAUUCCGUCAAAGUAUGAUUGUUUUGCGAACCGUUUCCUCCAGCUGUACAUUUGACCUGUUUCUUUUGUCGGCGGCUGUGAUAUUCUUCCGCUUUUCCUUCUUCGCGUUUUUUCUUACGUCGAUGGCGAAGAACAUAGUAAAUGACACACUGCCGCCACCUAGCGUAAGGUGGUGGUAGUGGUCAUUUGGCAGUGUACCAUAUUACAAGGCAACGCCAUAUCCACACUUACUGCAUAUGUUGUAAUUUUAAGUGUUUGUAGGCACUUAUUACAUUUUCUUCCCUUUGUCCCAGAAGUACUUGUAAUUUACCCCCUUUAAUCUUUAAACUCAUACUCGUCUGGUAAAUGGCAACAUAGCAAUGGGUUUCAAUCAUACAACAGAGAAUUUUAACUUAAAUUUUAACUUACAUGGGUCACAUUAAAAGUGGGUACGGUACAUGUUAAAUCACGUUUAUUUAGAACGGAUAUCUUUAUUUCCCAUCAUAAGAUAGCCUAGGCCGCAUGGUGGCCGUGUGGUUAGCAUGUUGGUCACACAGAGUGGGGAAGACCUUGGUUUGAACCUCCGCUUGGACAUCCCUGUUUGCCCAAGCACGGGGUGCAAACAGUGUGUCAUUGGGCACCCUGUGCGUGCGUGGGUAUUUUCCGGGUACUGCGGUUUCUUCUCACAUUCCAAAAACAUGUAUGUUACUUUAAUUGGCGACUAUAAAGAUGAUUUAUUAAGAUGGCCAAAGAAGCUGCCGAGAAAUGAAGUUGAAGCUACAGUACAGACCAAAAGUUUGGACACACACACACAUUACAACCCCAUUAAUAAGGCAAGAAAUUCCACUAAGUAACCCUGACAAGGCACACCUGUAAAGUGAAAAGCAUUUCAGGUGACUACCACAGGAAGUUCACUAAGAGAACACCAAGGGUUUGCAGCGCUAUAAAAAAAAAAUGAUACAUCAAAUGUAUGUCUAAAAUAUAAGACAUAUCUAGAGUUAGUUCACACUUUUUUGUAAAGUACAGAAUUCCACGUGUUCAUUCAUAGUUCUGAGAAUCUACAAUGUAAACAUUAAGGUUGAGAAUGCAUUCCAAAAUUCAGCAUUUCAGCACCAUUUUAAGACGCUAUUUAAAGGGGCCCUAUUCUGCUCAUUUCAGGGGCUUUUAAAAUUAUAUUGACUCCCAGUGAGGCCCUGCAGUAAGUUUCUUUUAGUAAAUUACUCUAUAAAUCCCAAGAUUUUGUAUGUGAUAAAUCUUCAUUCUUCUCUUCUUGGCCGAAACUCACGCAUUCUGCAGCCUCUGCCCCUGACCACACCUACUCUGUUGCGAUGGGGACACCUUAAAAACACACCAAGUUCAUGAUAGGCCACUUGCACAUCAUGCAUAACAAGAGUACAUUUUAAACAUGUACAAUUUAAGUCUGAAAAGUUAGGAAUGAUGUGAAGUGACACAUUAGACAUUCCUUAUUGUGUCUGUCAGUGGACUUUCUUGGCCUGCACCUUGCAUAAGUUCGCCCUGUAUCUCUCCGUCUGGUAGUAGUCCGACUCAACUGCCUCCUGUGAGUCGCUCAGCGUGACAUACACGUCCUUGUCCACUUCGGUGAUCUUGUGGAUCCUCUGCUUGACACCCUUGGAGCGCCAGCGUGUCCUCAGAGGUUUGACGGUUGGGUUGUCCACGGCCUGAUAGAGCCCUUCGCCUUCCGCCAGUGUGAUCUUGUACUUGUGCCACGGACACACGAUACAUGCCCGGCCGUUGAACUCCUGAUGGCGGCCAAGCAUGCAGAAAUGGAAAGAUGUAAUACUCUUGUAUUGUUAUUUGUAUAUACAGUAACUCACCUCAAUGUCUCCAUGCUCUAAUGCACCACCCGCAUCUGUCAAAGCAAAAUCAUCAAAGUUGGUUUGACAUCCAGCUCCCACUCCAAAUCCCACUCUUUCUUACGGUAACAGCGCAUGUCCAUGGCGUGGAACUUCCCCUGGUGGUAGAGGACCAGCACGUCUCUGCACCCAUUCACUAGCUUGGUCACACGACCGCAUCUGAUGAUGUCAUCCCUCUUCCCGACGAAGUGAGAGGAAGGUGGGAUCGUGCGAGGCAAGGAGGCAGGAGGAGGAGAUGAGGAGGUCUGCAAAGUCUCAUCCUCGGAGGACAUGUUGGCCACUUGUUACAGUCCUGCUCAAGAAAAACAAAUGCAGAAAAAUUAAAAGGUACCACCAAAUCUGUCCAAAUUUAUUUGUGGUGGGCCGCUACAAAUAAAUGAUUAGCACCAAAUAUGUCCAAAUUUAUUUGUGGUGGGCCGCUACAAAUAAAUGAUUAGCACCAAAUAUGUCCAAAUGUAUUUGUGGUGGGCCGCUACAAAUACAGUACAUGAAUGUGUGGGAAACACUGCUUGCAAAAGAAGCAGACACCUUGCCGGCCAUGGAAGCUGUUGAACGGUGAAGUGGAAGCUAUGCUGGCGAAAUAGGAUGUGGAUACUGUGCUGACCAAAGAAGGAAAUACGUUGGUGAAGGAAGCUGCCAUAAAUGAAGCCCAAGCUACGCUUGCUGCUGUCUGCGCAUGCGCUUCGUGUGGUCGUUCAUGGUCAGUAGAAAAAUGGGGGGGUCAAGUGGUAGGUGGGCUUCGAGGGCACAAUCCAAGGAUUCUAAGUACACGAAAAGACAAUGAGGACACAAAGUGGUGGAGAAGAGGAGGGGGGGAAAGGGGAUCGUGGAAGUAUCGAGCCCUCCCUAGGACGCGUCAUUGAGAGGCAAAAUGCUAUAUUUUACAUAAAUUCUUCCAGACUGACCGGCAACAGAAAAUGUAAACAGCUACUUGGGGAUGUUUAACGAGACUAAAUAUGAUCAUUAAAAAGAUGCGUGUUUUUGAUAAUUGAACAAGCGAAACCAUGAAACACACUAAAGUGCUGGUGGGAACAGUGUGCUAAAAGAAAGUGUGGCGUUAACUCUUCGACAAAAUACUGCUAGAGUAAAAUUACCUACUUGCUAAUGCUGGUUCAAUAUUAAAUGUCGUAUUUUUUUCCAUUACUCGAUAUUUGAAGUUAACGAAAAGCAAACUCAAUUUCAGCUCAAGUGGCCUUUCAAGAUUAGCGUCAAUUGCUAACAACGAAAGAGCUCAUUGUCUGUGCCACAGCCAAUACGGUCCCGAAGCGGUUUUGUGUUUCCUUUAUUAUUGUCCCACGGAAACUCCACGGCAUAGUUCUUUCCGUAUAUCGGACAUAAAUUAUAAGCGCAGUUCUGUUGCCUAUGUCAGCAUAGCAAUACUACAUAUAUGCUUCUGAUACAUUGUGCGUAAGAGUAAGCAUUAACCCCCCAUCUGUGGAAUCGCAAGACAUCUGCGUGACUGAGCUGAGUCGAAUCUAAUAUUGGAUUAUCCUCUUUUUCAGCCCUGCCGUGUGUGUAACAUUUCACCUGGGAUAAAAUAUCUUCCCUUUUUGCCACCUGUUUGACGCCCAGCAUUAUCGUUGCCAUGGAGACCAAGCCCGUCAAUAGACUUUAUGAUACUUUGUGAAUUAGUACACGUCAGAGAUAGGGAGUAAUUUAAUCAACAUUGCAUUGCUUCUUUAAAGUUAAAUUGUUAUUAUUAUUCGCCGGUAUUCCCACAGCAUUAGCUUUGUUUUUUUAGUGUCCUGCAACUUUUUGCUCUCGACAUAAGUCAACGAUUGCCAUUCGAGGAUGGGUCAAAGGACGUUUGCCGUGCACGUUACGACAACAUAUUACGAUACUCCUCUGUGUCGUUGAGUGGACUUUUUUUUUUACCUAACAACAUCAUACCUUCACAACGCUGCCCGCGUGCUGUGUAUGCUCCCCUGCAUGCAUGCAUGCAUGCAACUCACUGGGUACUGUGAUGACUCAGCGGUCACCUGUAUUGACUAUUAGACAGAAACGAGGGAGGGACAUCAGGCAGGGCGUACUGUCUUGGAGGAAAGCAGCAUGGCUACGGGUCUGUGGAGGAAAGCGGAGACCAUGGAGACAAAAAACAGCUCCAUGAAGCUCGGCCUCUUUGAGUGUCUGAAGGCAGUCGGGCUUCAGCAUCAUUACGAGCGCUUUACCUCCAUGGGAAUCCGUCACGCAGCCCACCUCUUAUGCCUCACCUCAGAGGACCUCCCCAUGCUGGAGAUCCACACCAAGGAGGACAAGAGUCGGCUCUUCAGUCUGGUGCAUCUGGUCAAAACACUGGAGCAGGAGGGGAUUGUGCUCGGGCUCAGAGAGGAUGCCGAUGAGCGUGACGGAAAAGCCACCGUAGUGGACACCUUUAUUAAAGACGAGCAGGAUGCCGCUCGAACGAAGCUCAACGUGGCGGCUUUACCUAACCGCCUCCACAAGCGUCUUGAUGAUGACCAUCAGCAGCGCGGACAAAACAGCAGCCACAGGCCAGCUGCUCAGCACACCAGGCCAGACAUCACAAGACGAUUGUCCAUGUACAAUAGUCACUCGGCGCCACCGCCACAGAGAAACGCCUCAUCCCACCACCCGAAACCUAAAGCAGAUAUAGCAAAGAGGCUCAGCAAGCAGCCUGUGGAGAAGAUGUGUCCAGAUAGAGGGAGUACCAAACAACAUGGUGGACACUUUACGAAACCAACACCUGUUUAUGAAGCAAAGAGAAAACUGGGAUACAAUUAUGGACUACCGCUGCAACCUGUUGCCUCAAAAAAGCAGACCUGCGGGCCGAGGAUCCUUGUUUGCGUGAGGAAGCGACCUCUGACCCCGGCAGAGAGACGGACAGAAGAAGCGGACGUUGUGAUGACGCCCAGUGCCGAGUGUGUGAUUGUCGAAGAGGGCAAAGAAGCCGUGGACCUCACUCAGUACAUUUUACAGCAUCCCUUCUACUUUGACCAGGUUUUUGGUGAGCAUCAUUCUAACGAGGAGGUUUACAAGAAAACAGCGUAUCCUCUGGUGCAGCACAUGCUCAACGGGGGCAAGGCCACCUGUUUCGCCUUUGGGCAGACGGGUGCAGGUAAGACUCACACCAUGAUGGGUUCCUCUCCCGAUGAUCCGGGCUUGUACGUCCUGGCGGUCCAGGACAUCUUUGCUCACCUGUCGGCCACGCACAGCCCGCUGCUGGUGUACGUCAGCUUCUGUGAGAUCUACUGCCGCCAGCUCUAUGACCUGCUGAACAACAGGAAAAGAUUGUUUGUGAGGGAGGACGGUCACAACGUGGUUCACAUUGCAGGACUUUGUGAUGUCAGAGUGGACUCGGUCAACUCACUGAUGAAGGUGAUGGCACAGGGUUUAGCGGCACGCAGCAAGAGGGUCAGUGGCGUGAAUCCGCUGUCGUCUCGUUCCCACGCCUUGCUGCAGAUUCAGCUCAGAUCUGCAAGCCAGCAGAUAACUGGCAGAAUGUGGUUCAUUGACUUGGCGGGGAGUGAGAGGGCAUCGGACACCAAAGCAACAGACUGGCAGACUCGCAUGGAGGGGGCGGAGAUCAACCAGAGCCUGCUGGCUCUUAAAGAAUGCAUCCGCUCCCUCGAUCAAGAGCAGCGGCACACACCUUUCCGACAAAGCAAACUUACUCAGGUCUUGAAAGACUCAUUUGUUGGUAACUCGAUGACUUGCAUGAUUGCCAACAUUUCACCAGGUCACGUCGCGACGGAGCACACACUGAACACACUGCGAUACGCUGACCGUGUGAAGGAGCUGAGGGGUCACGGAGGAAGAGAAAGCAGAACCAUACCUCUUUCCAAAUGCACCAGCAGAGACAUCACGAGAGGCAAAAGUCUUCCAAAGAAGACAAAAACGGGGACACAGAGAGCUUCUGGUGGCACCAUUUCCCCCACCCCAAAGAAACCCCCAGGCUGCGCGAUCCACUGCUCCACACCAAAGAGCAGCAGAUCAGACGAGGAAAGAACUGGCAAGGUCAAACGCCGGGUCGGGCCUGAACAAGCGAGCCAGCUCAGAGGCUCACAGGAAAAGGGUGACGGUUGCAAAAGAGAGGACAAGCGUGAACACUGGAGAAAGCAAGAAAACCAAUACAAGACUGAAGGCAAUGGUGGUGAUGAUGAUGAUGAUGAUGCUGUGAUGGUGGACCAGAGGAAUGCGGAGAUGCAGCAGCACCUGCACCAGUAUCACCAGCAGCUGCAAAAGUUCGUGCCGUUCUCCGUUACCUCGUCCUCAUCUAGCCGACAGUCGCUGUCCUCUCAAGCUUCAUCCGCCGUCUCGUUUUCAGACCGAAUGUAUCCCGGUUUGAAGGACGUUUUGAGCGUGUACGAUAGCGGGAUUGGAAGCAAUGGUACGCCGUCGCCUUUUAAAGAUGAGGAGAGGGACGCUGUUGGGAAAGAAGAGGUUCCAAGGGAACAGACAAGGUGGGCUCCGGUGGUGGCUACAGAACCAAAGGAGGCCGACGUGGCGGCUGAUGUAGGCUUAGCCUCCUUCAACUCCGAAGAGACAGGCGAGGACUCAUUGGAAAUGGAUCCUUCGCUUGAUGGCUUGUGGACUGACAGUCUACUGUUGGCCCACAGCGUCCAUAAGACGGACGUCUUCUUCAACACCCCUACUGUUGACCAGUCACUACCCCAUGUCCCACAUACCUUUCAACAAACCAGCGAGGAAUCGAAAAAGCUACCUCGACUUUUGACAAAAACUCAGGCGGUGCCGUCCAGCAUCGGUAGAGAAUCUCAGGCACAAAAGACACCCAGAAUGUCUCAGGAAGGUGCUUGUGAUGAUUCGACCAUGAGUCAAAGACGCCACACCAAUAACUAUCUCUGUCGUCCGGAGAGGAAGCAGGAGCAUCUCACACAUGCAAAGGGUGAAAACUCUGAAAGUUGCCCCGCAAAGAACCCUCGGGAUCCCACUUCUGACGCUAAGCUAGCCACUAAUCUCACAGAGCAGCAAACCCUCUCACUUUUGCCUCACAAGCUUGAAACCCCAGCAAAAAAUCUACUGACCGCACAAGAGCCACAACCUGUUUUUUUACAGUCAUUGCUAACGACACAAAGUCCCUCAAACACUGUGACAGACCAGCGUCUCCAAAUCCUCUCAGGCCAUCAUUCUCAAGUCCAAACUGGAAGUCCUGGAAAAUUGGAUUGUAAAGCGAGAACCGUCAACCAGGAGUUUCCGCUGAGAAUGUGCCAUGUGGGCCGCAUGGAUCAUGCCAGUUUUGCUGGGUUUUUCUUGAUUUCUGCAAUGAGCCACGUUGAUGGCCAGAUGGCCCCUACACAACACUUUGGACACCCAUACAUGUUUCGCCGGGUAGGCGAGGUGUUGCCCGGCAAUGAAGGAUUGUGUUCAAGCUCUGCCUUCUGUUGGCACUGUCACUGGUUAGGGGUUGGGUUGCAUUGUGGAGGGAUUUAUGCAGCUUUCGGCCCCACAUUGCACAGUGGUACGAUGGCGGAGCUCCACUCCAGCUCGCCUGCGUGGCGGAUACUUCACAUUUGUUGACCGCUUGUAUUUAAUUCAUGAACUUAGAGGCUGUGGUUUGCAGUGUAGUGAGAAAACACAAUGUACACCUUCAGAGAUCUCAUCGCAUAGAAUUUUAUUUAGUUUUGCAUACCUUAAAUGCUCCAAAUAACACCGCUAUUGAAUUAACCUUAGAAUCUCCAAGAGUUGCGUGAUCUACAAAAGCAAAUAACCGCCGGGCUCUCUGGUUAGCGCCAGAAAAACAUGGGCAUUGACAGCUGUGGCUGUAGGCAACCUCCUUAUGUCGUUGUUUAUUAGCUCCACAAGAUGGCAGUAGCUGCAUUUGAAGUAUCAUGAAUGGUCAGCAUCCAGCAGCUUCAUCUACAUCUGCAUGCGCUUUAAAAUGUCACUCACUCUACACACGUACUGUUGUUUACAAUGAACUCAUCACCGCUAUUAACGCUGGCUGAGCAGUUUGCUCCUUACCACAAUUCCAACAUUGUUUCUGUUGUGCAAUAUCAUUGAUAAGAAAUGACCAUGUGCAAGUAUUGCCUUUUUCCAAUGAAUGCCCUGUCCUCCUUUUGCGGUUUAGGUAAAUAAAUGCAGGGAUCCGUUUCACUUUUCAAAUGGUGGCCUAAGACUUUUGCGCACAACCUUGAACGCAAAAUUUUCAUCUUAUCUUUCCUGUCGCGUUCCUUCCUCCUCCAAACUUUUCAGGUGGCGUGUCAUCCAGGCCCACUGGGAGAAACUACGGGAGAUGGAGCCUUUGCUGCAGGAGGAGCAGACCCUUCUGUGCAAGCAACCCCAUAUGCCAUUUGGGGACUAUGUGGACAAGCUGGAGGAGAUCAUGGAGCGGAAUGCUCGCUGUCUGCAC